rnacentral:rRNA from 1 species
AUUGAACGCUGGCGGCAGGCCUAACACAUGCAAGUCGAACGAGUGGCGGACGGGUGAGUAAUUUCUGGGAAACUGCCUGAUGGAGGGGGAUAACUACUGGAAACGGUAGCUAAUACCGCAUACCAUCGGAUGUGCCCAGAUGGGAUUAGCUGGUGGGUGGGGUAACGGCUCACCAAGGAGAAGAUCCCUAGCUGGUCUGAGAGGAUGACCAGCCACACGUGAACUGAGACACGGUCCAGACGCCUACGGGAGGCAGCAGUGGGGAAUAUUGCACAAUGGGCGCAAGCCUGAUGCAGCCAUGCCGCGUGUAUGAAGAAGGCCUUCGGGUUGUAAAGUACUUUCAGCGGGGAGGCGUUACUCGCAGAAGAAGCACCGGCUAACUCCGUGCCAGCAGCCGCGGUAAUUC